rnacentral:lncRNA from 1 species
AGGGCGGAAGCCACGGGACGUGGAGCAGAUGGUGAGGAUAGUGGGGAGGUAGCAGCAGAGGAUGACCCGAGGCAAAAGUGCAAGUGAAGAAAAGUCGCCUUGCCGGGCAGAGGUACGGGACCAAGGCGCCUCCUCUGGGCUGAGGAGUUAGAGGGAAGAAAAUGGCGCCCUGUCAUGAGGGCGCGAGGUCCGAGUUGAGGGGAGAAGACUGAGGGACACAGAAGUGGCCGAAGUGAGGGCGCUGAGGUCAGCCUGAGCUGAGAGGGCCGGCAGAUCACGCCGCAGCCGAAGUGAACGAACUCGAGUGAGGAAAUUACUCCAGGAUUUGAAUCAUCACAAGAGAUUCACCAGAGGAUUUUAUACACUUGGGCUGUGGCAGCAGACUAAUUACAUCACAGCACUAGGAUAUCACAUUGUAUUUGGUCAUCAUGACUCCUUAGUCUCCAAUCUGUGCCAGUUUUUUUGGUCUUGUCUUUCAUGGCCUUGGGGAUUUUUGAAGAAUAAUGGCCAGGUAUUUUGUAGGAUGCCCCUUAACUUAGAUUUGUCUGAUAUUGGGAUUUAUCAUGAUUAGAUUGGGAAUAUGGGUUUGGGGGAAGAAUACUGCAGAGGUGAACUGCCCUUUCCAUUGCAUCAUAUGAGGGGUGCAUGAUAUCCACGUGACUAUGAGUGCUGAUGUUAACCUUGAUCACUUGGUUAAGGUGGUGUCUGAAAGGUUUCCUAGUUACUCUUUUUCCAUACUUUAUUCUUUAGAAGCAAGACACUAAGUACAGCCCAAAAUCAAGGAGUGGAGAAUUUAUUUUAAAACUGCAUUCUACCAAUCCUUAUUUGAUACUCCCCCACCCCACUUCCAAAAGUCCACUUGGUUCCUGAGCCUUUAGAAGAUUCUGUGGUAUACAUCAGCUUAGUUUUUGGCUUUUCCUACUGUAUCCUAAGUCAUUUUUCUGUUUUCCAGUCUCCACAAUUUUGUUGCUAUUGUCUCUUUUUUCUCUCUGUGAGUUUGUGAGUUUUUUUUUUUAAUCCCUUUACUGUAGCUUAGUGGGGCUUCGGAGAGAUUAAAACUGUAUUUUUAUGUUCAAUCUGCCUUCUUUAUUUGGAAGCUCUGGGAGAAAUAUUUUUUUUUUUGAGACGGAGUCUCAUUCUGUCACCCAGGCUGGUGUGCAGUGGCGUGAUCUCAGCUCACUGCAAACUCCACCUCCCAGGUUCAAGCAAUUCUCCUGUCUCAGCCUCCCGAGUAGCUGGGACUACAGGCACAUGCCACCAUACCCGGGUAAUUUUUGUAUUUUUAGUAGAGACGGGGCUUCACCAUAUUGGUUAGGCUGGUCCCGAACUCUUGACCUCAGGUGAUCCAACCCACCUCAGCCUCCCAAAGUGCUGGCAUUACAGGCAUGAGCCACCGCGCCCGGCCAGAGAAACAUUUUAUCAUCAUCAAAAUUGAUAUUUAAUCUGUGUUUAGAUUUGUCAUUUCUGCUUGUCAUAAUUCUGCCAUUGAUAUAAUACAUGAAAUUACUGAAUACUUUUUGGGCACCAUUGUUAUGUUUUGUAAAGCAUUGUGAUCAAUCAGAAAUUCAGUUCCCAGCUAGAGAAGAAACUCUUCUAGUAUUGGCUGGUGUGACUGGCCCUGAUUUUCAAAGGUAAAUUAGGGUUACUGCUAUAAAGCAGGGAUUACAAUGGGGUGCUUCUGUAUACUCCAAUGCCCAGUUACUAAGGUUACCAAAAAACAAAGUGGGUUUGGGCACCUCAGGAGUCAAAGUUUGAGUCAGUCCACCAGGCAAAGAACCUUAACUGGCAUAAGCUAGCCAAAGGCAACCUAAACUUGAAUGGGUAGAGGAGGGGAGUUACAAUAUCCACUAUGGUUUCUUGACCAGUUACAUAAAGGAGGACUGUAGCUCUCUGUGUAUCUGCUCUCUCUCCUUUCUUUUUCACCUUUUGUUUUCCUACAAUUUUAUAGAGUGUUUUGAUAUCAGAAAUGUUUACCAUUUAGUGACUGAGUUGCACUUUUUUAUUUUUUAUGCGUUUUUAUAAUUUUUAUUACUUUUUCAAUAAAGAUAAUGUAUCUGUUACUACA